rnacentral:rRNA from 1 species
UACGUAGGGGGCCAGCGUUGUCCGGAAUCAUUGGGCGUAAAGCGCGCGUAGGCGGUCAGGUAAGUCCGGUGUGAAAGUCAAAGGCUCAACCUUUGAAUGCCGCUGGAAACUGUCUGGCUAGAGUCCGGAAGGGGCGAGUGGAAUUCCUGGUGUAGCGGUGAAAUGCGCAGAUAUCAGGAGGAACACCUAUGGCGAAGGCAGCUCGCUGGGACGGUACUGACGCUGAGACGCGAAAGCGUGGGGAGCGAACAGG